rnacentral:tRNA from 1 species
GUUGGCUUUAGCUUAACUGGUAAAGUGCCACACUGUGAAUGUGGAGAACAGGGUUCGAGUCCCGGAGUCAACC